rnacentral:rRNA from 1 species
UGGGGAAUAUUGCACAAUGGGCGAAAGCCUGAUGCAGCGACGCCGCGUGAGGGAUGACGGCCUUCGGGUUGUAAACCUCUUUCAGCAGGGACGAAGCGCAAGUGACGGUACCUGCAGAAGAAGCACCGGCUAACUACGUGCCAGCAGCCGCGGUAAUACGUAGGGUGCAAGCGUUGUCCGGAAUUACUGGGCGUAAAGAGUUCGUAGGCGGUUUGUCGCGUCGUUUGUGAAAACCAGCAGCUCAACUGCUGGCUUGCAGGCGAUACGGGCAGACUUGAGUACUGCAGGGGAGACUGGAUUUCCUGGUGUAGCGGUGAAAUGCGCAGAUAUCAGGAGGAACACCGGUGGCGAAGGCGGGUCUCUGGGCAGUAACUGACGCUGAGGAACGAAAGCGUGGGUAGCGAACAGG